UGUAACGAGCUUCAACUUUCCCUCGCAGUGGUUUACACUUUACAGAAGGCAAGUCAACAAUUGAUGACAAUAAUCACGCUGAAUCAUUUAGAGGCUAGAAGAAGGAAACCUUGGAGCAGAAGGAUUAAACUGAGGAAUCAAGUUUUGUUGGUGGUGCCACAUAAAUGCCAAAUGUGCUGCAGGAUUUUGUUGCUGCACCAGGGAGAGACUUGUAAGCCUAUUUGGGUUUCAAAAAGUUCCCGUUCACCCCGAGAUUGGCCAAAACAAGUCAGACAACGAUGGGACUAUUGGACUCACGAGGAAGUCCUCUUCGUGUGCCCGCCAGGACAGCUUAUGAUUGUGCGGUUCUCCAUAUCGUCCAGACUUCCAGCCCCUUCUGCCCUCUUCGUGUAGCCAGCAAUAGACCACUAUCUUCGGGUUGGGCUCGAGUGUUAUGCGUUCCUCCGACCUCGGACAGUUUGUCAGGGGGUCAUUCUCCACCUGCUUCCCCAGCAAACGAGCUCUCUGGUUUGUUUACGCUCUCCAAAGCCGGGGAAGGGAAAUGACAAAAGUCAGACUAACUCCAGUGGCAUAAAAUAUCGUUCCGGAGAUGUAAGAAGUCGAUAGUUUUGACCAUUAUGGAGUAAUUUUGCCAUGUCGUACUGAAUAAAUACAUUUUGAAUAUUUCAUAUUCCAUUUAGCACAAUUUGUCAUGCCCAUACCAUUUAUUUAGCAAUUGGGGAAAAUACUUAGAUAAAAAGAAUAUCCUGUAAAAAUAUUGGAGUAGACAGACUGAAACAAUGACAUUUUGCUGAUCUCUUCGUCGCAUUUUCCUCAUUCUGAAUAAUUCCCCCUCGAUGGGCUGAAUUCUAAAUCAGAUGAAAUCGUGACCCUGCCGACGUCAUCAUCCAGUUGGGGACGCUAAAACGCUAUAAUAACAGGCAGGGCUAAACGGCAGAUUAAAAGACUAAUUUCUCGUCAUCUGCGCUUUGCCAAAUUGUUGUAUAUAGUCAAAUCGUCUCAAAAUAUGAUUCUAAUUCACAUAAUAAUGCUAUUUAAGAUUUUUUUAAUGCUGUCACAGGCACUUUAAGUCCGGUAUGUGGUACAGUCCAGAGCUAAGCGGCAGCCGCUACAAACCACGCCUCCUACAAACUACGGAUUUCAUAGAUAUCACAUGUACCAGUAUAUAGAACUAGA